GACGAACGCUGGCGGCGUGCUUAACACAUGCAAGUCGAACGGAAAGGCCUCUUUCGGGGGGUACUCGAGUGGCGAACGGGUGAGUAACACGUGAGUAACCUGCCCUUGACUUUGGGAUAACUUCAGGAAACUGGGGCUAAUACCGGAUAGGAGCUCCUGCUGCAUGGUGGGGGUUGGAAAGUUUCGGCGGUUGGGGAUGGACUCGCGGCUUAUCAGCUUGUUGGUGGGGUAGUGGCUUACCAAGGCUUUGACGGGUAGCCGGCCUGAGAGGGUGACCGGCCACAUUGGGACUGAGAUACGGCCCAGACGCCUACGGGAGGCAGCAGGGGGGAAUAUUGCACAAUGGGUGGAAGCCGGAUGCAGCAACGCCGGGUGCGGGAGGACGGCCUUCGGGUUGGAAACCGCUUUCGCUCAUGACGAAGCUUUGUGUGACGGUAGUGGGUAAAGAAGCACCGGCUAACUACGUG
rnacentral:rRNA from 1 species